AUUGAACGCUGGCGGCAUGCCUUACACAUGCAAGUCGAACGGCAGCACGGGAGCAAUCCUGGUGGCGAGUGGCGAACGGGUGAGUAAUGUAUCGGAACGUACCUUUCAGUGGGGGAUAACGUAGCGAAAGUUACGCUAAUACCGCAUAUUCUGUGAGCAGGAAAGCAGGGGAUCGCAAGACCUUGCGCUGAUUGAGCGGCCGAUAUCAGAUUAGCUAGUUGGUGAGGUAAAGGCUCACCAAGGCGACGAUCUGUAGCGGGUCUGAGAGGAUGAUCCGCCACACUGGAACUGAGACACGGUCCAGACUCCUACGGGGAGGCAGCA
rnacentral:rRNA from 1 species